GUUGGAAACUUAGGUGUCUGAGGAGUUACUGCUCCCUGCAUUGAAGCUGAUGUCUUUGGUGGGGGUGUGAGGAAGUUGUUUCUGAAAGUGUUGGGAAAAGUGCAAACUGAAAUCAACUGCUGUUAUUGAAAUGAAAUGUCACUGUCAGGGUGAAAAAGUGUUGCCGUGGUGAUGCUGAGACCAGCAGGAAGCAAAAAAAAGGAAGACAAAAUAAACAGGAAGGAGUGUGUCCCUUAUUUUUCCUCAAUUCGUACAGUGCUUUUCCAGUUCCUUCUACUGGCUUACCGGAGAGACUUAUGAAAGCCAAGAAAACCAGCAGAAAUAUGAUUGGCAGAUCUCAGCCCCACAUCUUGAAGGGUUGUCUCAUUGCUGUGUUGAUGUUUCCUUUGCAGAAGCUCCUUAGUUUGAGCAGUUUUCGAGAAUUGGCAAUCUCAUGCAUCACCCCAAGGCACUCCAUACUACUAGAGAAUAAUGAAGAUCUGGCAUGA
rnacentral:lncRNA from 13 species